GAUGCUGGCGGUAAAUAUUCAGAUGAUUGGGAAGACAUUGAAAAUGAAAGAAAGGUUCAAAUUAUGAUUGAAAUACCUGAACUGUUAAAAUCUACUUGCAAGGAUGAGGUGAAUAGAUUUUUGAAUGAUAUUGAAGAGUUACUGAAUGAAAACGUUGCCAUAAAGCCAGAAAAUACAGAGCAAAAAUGUGAUAACCUAAACCUGGAGUGCGGAAUGGAACCAGAGCAAUGUACAU